GUAAAAAGCAAAAAAGAAUUUAUUGUGAUUUCACAAGAAAGGGCAACUCCCAAUAGACAAGGUGUCAGUAAAGAAGUGCAAAACACAAGCUGCAAAUACAGGAUUAUAUAGAUUAUUUAACCAGAAACCCCCACUACUCCCCCUUCUGACCUUUUCUUCCAUUGGUUGUCAAGUUCUAAUUUACCCAGAGACUAAAUAUCAACCCCAGAACACAUUUUACUUAUUAGGUAUUUAAAUACUAAUGAAAAGGUGUGGGGGGGGGGGGAGAGAAAGGGGAGAAAUAUUUAUCUAAAAUAAUCGAACACCUGCAGCUUUUAACUAUAGCUCAAUUUGUGACCACAAAGUCUCAAGUCACAAUAGGGUGGUCAAGGCCACAUUCUUAUGAGAGGUCUUCACUCAAUUUAUCCCAUUCACUUAGGUGUUUUGUUUUUUUUCCCCAAAGACCAGAAGAACUUGGUGGAGUGGGUCAGGGAGGAAAGGCCGUGUGGAUUAUCCAAUGGGAUGCUGUUACACAUUUAACAACUGUUUAUGUACGUACAACACACUUUUCAGUUUAAUCUGCAUUAUUAACAUUUUCUCCAUCAUGUUCUUAAAUUUAGACAAUCAACAAUACAAUAAAUCAAGUCCUGCCAACUUCUGAAAUGGAAAUGCUCAUAUUGAAUAUUUAACAAUGGGCAAACUUGCCAGUCCAUACAAUCCUCUCCAGUUCUAUGCCAUUUCCCUAGAUCCAUGGCUCCAUUAUUCUUGCACAGGACCUUGGUAUCCUGAAUCUCACUGAAUUUGCAUUAAGAUAGUUGUUGAGAGACUUUAGCUUUGUAGUAGGUAGGCAUAUGAGAUUAAUGGAAAUGACCACUCAUUUCUAAUUUUCUACACUUCACUGAAAAAUCACGUACCCCAUCAUCUUAGAAAUGAAAGCAAUACUCAUAUUUAUAUGUCUUUAUUUUAAUUCAGCACAACAUCAAGGACACACAUCCAUAGUGGCUGGUCCUUCAUUAAGGUGAAAUAUGACACAAGGCACAGAACAUCUGUGAGACAGCAUACACGACAGCUACAUCUUUGUGCUUUUGUACUUUGGGGGGGGGGGUUAGCUUUUUAGAGUGCUAGUGCUGGCUUUCUUUUUCCCAGUUUGAGUUUGCCAAUAUUUUAACUGAUAAAGUUUAAGUGCAAUUUUUUCUUGGUUUCUGAGUCUUUGGAUAUUACUAUGUGGGAAGGGAGUAGGAAUUGGUGGAGAGAUUUGGUCUGGCUUCUGCUUAGCCUAGCAAAUAUAUCACUCACAACAUACAUGUGAAGAUAGCUAUUUAACAUGGCCUUGUCAAUUCAGUUGCUGAUUGUCUCAUACACAUAACUGUGGGGAAGGAUAGACAAGACACUUGAGGUUUCUUAAAAAGUUCAGGAAUGCAGUAGGUAGGCAAAAGUUUAUAAAUAUAUAAUAUAUUUAAAUAUUAAUAUGCCUAUCUGUGUCUAUAAGUGCAAAUAUAUAUGUUAUUAAACAUUUAAUAAGCCAAACUGUUGCAAUAGAAAUAUAUGUAUAUAUAUAAAUACAAACAU
ensembl:lncRNA